rnacentral:sRNA from 1 species
AGUCGUUUAUAGAUAUACCAAUGCGUUACUAGCUAAGUUUUAUCUAUCGCUUUAUCGGUGAUUUUCACCACAUAUUUAAUUUUUUGAAAAAGGUUUCAAUUAUGUCUAACACAGUAAACGGCACAGUUAAGUGGUUCAACGAAGAGAAAGGUUUUGGUUUCAUCACUCAAGAAAACGGCGGUAAAGACGUAUUCGUACAUUUCCGUGCUAUCGUUUCUGACGGUUUCAAAACUUUAACUGAAGGCCAAUCAGUGUCUUUCACAGUUGAAGAAGGCCAGAAAGGUCCUCAAGCAAGCAACGUAGUAGUUAACUAAUACGUAUUGCUCAGAGCUAGUGCCUGCACUAGCUCUACG